GAUCCUGGCUCAGGACGGACGCUGGCGGCGCGCCUAACACAUGCAAGUCGAACGAGAGAGAAGGAGCUUGCUUCUUCGAUCGAGUGGCGAACGGGUGAGUAACGCGUGAGGAACCUGCCUCAAAGAGGGGGACAACAGUUGGAAACGACUGCUAAUACCGCAUAAGCCCACGGGUCGGCAUCGACCUGAGGGAAAAGGAGCGAUCCGCUUUGAGAUGGCCUCGCGUCCGAUUAGCUGGUUGGUG
rnacentral:rRNA from 1 species